rnacentral:rRNA from 1 species
AUUGAACGCUGGCGGCAGGCCUAACACAUGCAAGUCGAACGAGUGGCGGACGGGUGAGUAAUGUCUGGGAAACUGCCUGAUGUAGGGGGAUAACUACUGGAACCGGUAGCUAAUACCGCAUACCGUCAGAUGGGCCGAGGUGGGAUUAGCUAGUUGGUGGGGUAACGGCUCACCAAGGCGAAGAUCCCUAGCUGGUCUGAGAGGAUGACCAGCCACACUGGAACUGAGACACGGCCCAGACUCCUACGGGAGGCAGCAGUGGGGAAUAUUGCACAAGGGGCGCAAGCCUGACGCAGCCAUGCCGCGUGUAUGAAGAAGGUUUUCGGGUUGUAAAGUACUUUCAGCGGGGAGGCGGUACCCGCAGAAGAAGCACCGGCUAACUCCGUGCCAGCAGCCGCGGUAAUAC